UCAAAACAGCGGACUUCGGUCUUUGCUGCACCCUUGUCUUCUGCGCACCGUAAUUGUUUCCUCGGCGGGCUUGCCUGCCGGUUGGACAUUAUCAAAACCUUUUGUAGUUGCAAUCAGCGUCAGAAAAAUCAUAAUUAUUA
rnacentral:misc_RNA from 1 species